rnacentral:rRNA from 1 species
UACAGAGACUGCAAGCGUUAUUCGGAUUCACUGGGCGUAAAGGGUGCGCAGGCGGUUUUGUAAGUCAGAUGUGAAAUCCCCGGGCUUAACCUGGGAACUGCGUUUGAAACUACAAGGCUAGAGUGUAGCAGAGGGGGGUGGAAUUCCACGUGUAGCAGUGAAAUGCGUAGAGAUGUGGAGGAACACCGAUGGCGAAGGCAGCCCCCUGGGCUAACACUGACGCUCAGGCACGAAAGCGUGGGGAGCAAACAGG